CAUGGGGAUGUGAAGGUUCCACCUCUCUGUGAGAUUGGGCGCGUGUUGGACAAAGUGGCAGUUCAUCAUCGAAACCCGUUUUAAAGUGAAGGAGUGUUGAUUCUCUUCUGAUAAAUGGGUCAACACCAGUCAGCGGAUUGUGUCGCUGAUUGGUCGACAUCAUAACAAGAGUCAUGCGUGAAAGAAAACACCCUGCAGUGGGUCAUCGUUGUUGGCCUGGAUCCUGACCGGAUCUCUAUGAUGCAGCAGAUGCAGACUGAAUGGCAGGAAGUCUGAAACAAUCAUUCAGAUUUGAAUGAGGUCAAAUCAACCACUUGAUGACGUCUGCUUACUCAUUACAAAUCAUUGUACUUCCUAUUCUGUGGAUGCCAAUAAUGAGGUCAUUGGUUUUGACCACUAGAAGAAAAUUAUGGAAUUGAAAAAAGUUUGAAGAAUAAAAAAAAAAAGAUACACUGGAAAUAGGUCAGUGACUAUUCAGCUGAGAUAAGGUAAGUUCAAAAUGUUCCAAUUGGUUUCGCCAGUUUUUUUAAUCGAAAAAGCACUGAAUGUGGGAGUAUUUUAUUAUGAUAAUUGUAUGUAGGGGAAGAAAAUAAGUUUUAAGACUAAAGUAAAACAAGUAACCAAGGUAACUGAGGAAAAUUAUUUCAACCUACGCUGUUAUGUAUAAAACAAAACUCAUUAAAACUUGUUUUCUUUUAAGCCUGUUUAUUCGCUAGGCAGAAUGUCAGCUGCUUCACUACACACACACAGAGACAAAGCAUCCCCACAAACUGAAACCUAAAACCACUGCUUGGAGACCGUGACUGUUCAGCCAAUCAUCAGUGGAGUUUCAGGCUUCUAUAGUUGGGCGUUCAACAAUGUGGUUUGUGAGCUAGUCAAAUGACACACUGCCAGCAGCUGAGAGGUUACUAUCAGUCAUUGAACUGUAGUAAACUCUGCCGGUCAUGCACUGAGAGGAAAAAUCAAACUAAACCAGUUGGUCAACUGUUAAUUGUGUCAUUUAUCUACAAACUGUAAAGGGAAAAAUUAAUUGCAAGUUUUUACAAACAGAAAAUUAAACAGCUAUAAACCAGAGGAGCUGCUUGCAUGCUAAAUGCUUGGGGUUAUUGGAUGUAGCUCUGUGCUGGCAGAUAAAUGGGUGAUUAAGGUUUUGAAUGCCUUUCAAGUUCGGGCUCCAAACCAAAAACAAGUCUGUUCUUCUGGUGCUGUAAGGCUAAUGUUAUGACUGUGAAUAAGUUAAGCCAGGGCUGGGUUACUGGAGUUCACAAGAAAUGAGAGGAAAGCAAUAACGAUGGAAAGUAAAGCAGCUAAUUAAUAGUUUUGUUUUUUUGACUCCUACAGUAGGCUUAAAACUAAAAUAAUCCUUAGAGCACCACGAAGAGGAGGUUCAGAGGGGAACCUGCUCUUUACUCUGAAAUUGAACACAAUUUAAUGUAGCAAACACAUACAAGUGUAUGUGACUUUUCCUGCAGUUAGCAUUUUAUAAAUUCCUGUAUUGGUUUUCUUUUUAACCCCUGUGUAUGUUUGUGUUUUACAGUGUACUUGGAUUUUACUGCCUCUGACUUCAGUGUAAACACAGGACUUGUCAAACCAGGUCAGUCUCACCUUUGUCUCCUUUAUUUUAACAGUCACAACACAACAACAGGACAAUCUGUCAUCUUUUACUGUUAAUAGUUAACCAAUCACAGAGCACUUGUAGGUAAACUUUUUAUAGCCUGCAACAGUGACAAAUGUGCUGAUGUGGGGGGAGAAUAAGGUGAGAAAAGGCUGGAGACCCCUGUCUGACUGAUGUGAGGGAGGAUACAGGUUAUUGUUUUAUUGUGCAUUAGUCUUUGUUACAGAAGUGUUGCUUUAAUUUUUUUUCACAAAUGUGUUUAACUGACUCUUUUUUUCUACUUGAGUGAAAUUACACUCAAUAUGUUGGUGUGAUAAUAGGUCAUUCAAUAAAUAAUCUGUAAUUAAUACUAUGAUAUAACUGUAUAACAGUAAUUAUAUAAAUAACCGCUGACAAUGAGGUAGUAAAACAUUAAUGAGACAAAGGUCACUGAAGUAUGAAGAGGAGUCUGUUUUGGCCGACCUCUUCUUCAUGGGUCACCUCGGCAGAUAAUCUUAAUGUGUAAUUUGGCACAGAGUUUUAUGCUGGAUGCCUUUCCUGACACAAGCCUCUGUGUUUAUCUGGACUGUCACGUACAGUGACCUGCUCUAACAGCUGGGGUGUCAUGGGCAACCUGUAGUUAAUGUGUUGCCCAGAGACUCAGCUCACUGCCUGGAAUUAAACCCCAGACCGUGUGACUUGAACUAUGACCAACUAACCAUGAGAAGCCCUUACAUUCUUCAAUCUAAAGGUUAAUUAUAAUCAUAAUAAUAAUUAAUCACGAUUAAGUGUGAUUAAUUAUGAUAAAUCAGCAUGUCUUUGCUGGAACCAACAAUAACAAUUGUUUCCUGAGACUAAUCCAAAACAUCAAAUUAUAACAAUAGGAAAAAUGUCAAAAUAUCCAAAAGUAUAGCUAAGACAAGGCUUUUAGACAUGCCAAGUAAUCAAGACAAUGUCGAAUAUGUUCUAUACAAACACACCCUAUACAAAGAUGAGACCAAAUAACCACGGCAACAGUGAAGUAAAAAUCAUGCACAGAUCAAUAAUCUGUCACCACCGUAGGUGAAAGCGGUAAUGUCAACAGUAAUGUCACCUCCCUGCACUAUUUAGGCUUCAAAAAAACAAGACAUCUGCUUAUAAAAUAUGCGUCCUGUUGAAAACAGAACCAUUAUAAGAUGUAAUGAUUAAACUCACUUGGAUCUGAGUUAAAGAUAAGCUCAGUCUCAACUCAGGCAAACAUUGUCAACAACCAGGGCCUCUGAUAAAGGCUGUGCCAAGGGCCAUGUGCUUUCGUGGGUAACCACUGUGUGCCUGAGCAGAAUGUUAAACAUAGCACAUAAUGAGGGGGACAGGUGGGGGGUGGGCUUUCACAUAAUUAAAGCAAAGAUACCCCCAUCCACUGGUGUUAAAUGAUGCAUAUACAUCAUCAUGGAAAUAUAGACAAAUUCAACAAAAAAAAGUGUUUCAUUCAAAUUUAAAUAAUCAGAUUCUGGACAGACCUUGAAAGAUUAGACUAAUAUACACUUCACUGUUUGCUGCCAAAUCUGUUUAACACCAAAGAGAGCCUUCACCAGGUAUCUCCUCAGUCAUUGUGUGAAACUCAUGGAACUCAUGAGUAGACUGUUAGGAGUUUGACGUGGCAGCAGAGUACACAGCAGCUUAUAUAAGCCACUCUCCCUGCACACUCUGUCCAUUGCUGGUUAUGUAAUAAAGCCUGUUAGAAUGGCGUAGCACAGUCCCCACCCCUCAUCGCAGCUGAAAGAUGUGCCCCCUUGCUUUGUCUGUGAAAAUUGCUGUGAAGAAUACUUUCAGCAGCCCACAUGAACUUGCUAAUUGCAGAGCUGCAAAGAAAUGCUGCACUGUUGUGAAGUGAGUUUGUCUUCGACUGGCUAAAACAGGACUUUAAUGAAUUCUUAGAACUUCUCUGCUGUAAUUAUCUGCCACUGUGUUUUCUCCAGACUGAAAUUACACAAUCAUUAACCACACUGGUUCUUUUGUUCAGUUCUUAAACCCACAGGCAUGUUACUGAUAAAGUUGUACAACAGCUAGAUGGCUCCAGUGAGUGUCAUGAUGAAGGGAGCUAACCCGCUGCCUGGGAGUGUGCCCGAGUGUGGAUAGUUGAAGUAGGUCAAAGGUGACAGCAGACAGAGAGAGUGAAACAGAAACCGGGCAAAUCCCCCAGAGUAGAUUUCUUAGUUAAAAUCAAGACAAAUGUUUAAAUCACUCAUUGUUAGAACUGAAAGUCAUUCAAUAUAAAUAAAUAACAGGACUUAAUUCUACUUUGUUGAUGUCCCGCCUCCUUUACUGAUUGAGUCAAUGCGUGGUAUGAAGCCAAUGUCUAAAUAAACAACCUACAAGCAUGGUAUCAUUUAUUUGUGAAGCCAUCUUUCCUGUCUGUCGUCUCACUCCCUGGACCUGAUUCAGAACUGGAACUAAGACUCUUCCUCUUUGGGUAAUCCGAUCACUUGAGGACAGAACUAAAAGCAGGUCUGGAAGUUCUUAAUCUGUCCCGAACACUCAAUCCUCAAGACUGGUUAUCCAAACCACAUUUAAAGGUGGUUUGAGGACACAUGGUCCAAAUCUGCAGUCCUCAUGUUAUUGUAUUAAUGACACCCCUGUUUAGGACACAUCCUCUAACCUGCUGCACUUUCUUUUGACCUUGUGACCUCUUUUUGGUUAAAUCCUUCAAACUUCAAAUACAGUGGCACAGGUAACGUUGUCUGUUAUGCUGUAACAUCAGAUCUCAUCUGUGUUCACAGGCAAUGCAGUCAGAUCACUCAGGACAGAUGUACAGUAAACAGCAGCUAUGAAAAGGACCUUUAUCUCACCAUUCCCACAACCGAAACAAUCCCCACCCGGCGCCAGCCAUCUGUUGAUAACCCUGUUCAUCCACUGGAGGUCAGCGCACAGGGGGCCAAACACUCUAUCCAAGCUGUCGCUCACGUUCCUCUUGGAGGAUUACCAAAUAUGGACCAGGGUUUGGGGGAAGGCAGGUCACUCCAGGGAUUUCUACUUGAGCAAAUGAAAACAGGAGCCCGAGUUCACACACAAGUCUGCUGCUCUUCAAAUCAAAUGAAGCCAUUAGGUUUACUGCCACAUGACUGUGAGCCAGAGAACCAGAAACACAGCAUCGAGCCCAGAGCCCAUCACCUGCUGUACUAAGGAGGGGGCUGGACACAAAGGCAACUUGUCUAAUGUCUUUUCACUGUCAUCAGGACAUAAGGGACCAGAAGCAAACAGCACGAAUGGAAAAUUGAAUGUCUUUACUUGAAGUUCAUAGAUUCUUACCAUGCAGUUGGAGUUGUCACUUGUUUCAGAUAGGCAGUGGGAAACAUCUAAAAAAAAACAACCUCCUGUGCGUCACCAGGAUAAAUGGGCUGUCUUCACACUGUCUGGAAAGCGUCAGCUGAACAACAUUAAAUGUAAGGCAGAGACAUGCAGAGUGCAGGGAAAUCAAUCUUUAUUUUUCAAGUCCCCUGUGGACUUUUUUCUACACUUUGUAUAAUGUAUGUCACGUAAAUGGACGACUUUGCUGCAAUAUCUUAAAACCUGUUCUUACGGUUCCUACAGGAGGUGAGAAGGAACUGUGUGAGCAACAGAGACAGAUUUGACUGUGUAAGCAAAAAUCAAAGCCCACACUAUACUAACGUAUAAAGUCCAGUCCUGCAGCUUUCAUAUAACUUUUGAUAAAGUAAAAAUGUGCAGAAAGUGAAGAAGCGGAGAAGGUUUUUUAAUGUGUCUGCAGCUUUGGUCUGGACCUGAAGGUGCUGGGAGAAAUCAGUCUUUUAAGCAUUUUAAAUGUGUGUAAAGUUUUUUUCUAAAGUUGUUCAUACGUUAUCUCUCACACUGCACUUGAUUUUCCUCUCUGCCCCUGUCUAGCUUCAAUCAGGCUAAUCAUUUCCAGUGUUAAUUGCUUCCUCACCCUGCAGUGCCGUCGUCUCUCGGGCUGUCUGUGAGCAGAAUCACCAGUGUUCUGUUCUCUACCUGCUCCACUAGUCUAAUGUUGAUUGUCCUGCUGAAAUGAUUGCCCCCCCACCGUCUCCCACACCCUCCCACGGAGCAAACAGGCAGUUUACAGCCUCGUCCUACAAUAUUUUAAAAAACGUUGUUGCUCAAGUGUUUUCAGCUCAGGCUGCAGACAGAAAAGGGCAUUUUUAUACAGCAACAAUCAAUAAAAUAAGAACAAAUAAGAUUUAAAUUUGUGGGGGGGGGGGAUUUUGGUAAAAAAAAUUUGGCUUAUCAACCGAAAAAAAACACAACCCCCUUGAGGACCUGUGUGGACCUGCUAGGGGCCGUCCACCCAUUGUUGGAAACCUCUGCUGUUUAGGUUGAAGUGUCUUGACUUUAUCAAUAAUCACACCAGUCAAAAGCCUCAUUCUAACUGGGAAUCAUCAGCUUUUUUUUCCAGCUGUGCAGUGAGGAGAUAGUCACAGAUCCUCACAUUUACUGAGUGAUGCUUUAACUCUAACUACUGUGCACAGACACAAGCAAUCAGGCUAUGAUGUGAACCACUGCCUGCAGCUGAACAAGUCAUCACUGUCACAUCUCACUUAUUCCAUCUCUAUUCUCAGUAGAUCUCCCAGUUCGCAGAAUCACAUUAGGACAAGAGUUCUGUAAUGUGGGCCCAGAGAAGAUGAUCAGAUAAGAAUAGUUCAAAGACAACGAGCUGUGUCUGGACACACACUGAGGCCCAUUCAGUCAUGUCGCCUCAGGACAGAGAGACAGAUAGAAAUACACAGUGAGUACAAGGCAAAAACACAGCAUGUGUUAUAUAUAUGAGUGAUAGAGGUAGUGUUACAGUUUCAUAAUCUCUGCCUGAUAAGAAUUACCAAAUGUUUGUUUUUUUUAAUCUGGGGCAUCAUUGUUCAACACACUGUGUCCUGUGUUUGACCAGAUGUAGGACUUGUCUUUAUAAAGGACAUACUGUAUCUUUAUAUUGUCAGCAAUUCACUUGAUGUGUAACAGUAUAAUACCUUGACUAUUGCUAACAGUGAUGUACUGGAGU